rnacentral:rRNA from 1 species
UAGGGAAUCUUCCGCAAUGGGCGAAAGCCUGACGGAGCAACGCCGCGUGAGUGAUGAAGGUCUUCGGAUCGUAAAACUCUGUUAUUAGGGAAGAACAAAUGUGUAAGUAACUAUGCACGUCUUGACGGUACCUAAUCAGAAAGCAACGGCUAACUACGUGCCAUCAGCCGCGGUAAUACGUAGGUGGCAAGCGUUAUCCGGAAUUAUUGGGCGUAAAGCGCGCGUAGGCGGUUUUUUAAGUCUGAUGUGAAAGCCCACGGCUCAACCGUGGAGGGUCAUUGGAAACUGGAAAACUUGAGUGCAGAAGAGGAAAGUGGAAUUCCAUGUGUAGCGGUGAAAUGCGCAGAGAUAUGGAGGAACACCAGUGGCGAAGGCGACUUUCUGGUCUGUAACUGACGCUGAUGUGCGAAAGCGUGGGGAUCAAACAGG